rnacentral:rRNA from 1 species
GAUGAACGCUGGCGGCGUGCCUAAUACAUGCAAGUCGAGCGAACAGACGAGGAGCUUGCUCCUCUGACGUUAGCGGCGGACGGGUGAGUAACACGUGGAUAACCUACCUAUAAGACUGGGAUAACUUCGGGAAACCGGAGCUAAUACCGGAUAACAUGUUGAACCGCAUGGUUCAACAGUGAAAGACGGUUUUGCUGUCACUUAUAGAUGGAUCCGCGCCGCAUUAGCUAGUUGGUAAGGUAACGGCUUACCAAGGCAACGAUGCGUAGCCGACCUGAGAGGGUGAUAGGCCACACUGGAACUGAGCCACGGUCCAGACUCCUACGGGAGGCAGCAGUCGGGAAUCUUCCGCAAUGGGCGAAAGCCUGACGGAGCAACGCCGCGUGAGUGAAGAAGGUCUUCGGAUCGUAAAACUCUGUUAUUAGGGAAGAACAAAUGUGUAAGUAACUAUGCACGUCUUGACGGUACCUAAUCAGAAAGCCACGGCUAACUACGUG